CCUGUAGCAUUCGCACAGCGUGUGCAUAUGCACAAUGGCCCAUUUUCAUCUCCGUGUGUACGCACGAACCUUGGUGCGUAUGCACCUCCAAUUCUCCCUCCUCUGUUGAGAGCGCCGGCACGGUCGGUGAGUCCGCACAGCCCCCUGAGGUGCGAACCCUGUGACUCCUCAGUAGCCCUCUUCUCCUUCCCCAACGUUCAUCCCUAUCUCCUUCUUCCCUGCCUCAGACCAUCAUCACGCUACCACCCUGCGCCGCCAGAACCCUAAUCGCCAGCGCCACCAACCAACACCACCACCCCUCCUCUCGGACAACCAGCCCCACAUCGCCGUCCAGCCUCCUUUCUCUACCCUCAGCCAUACCAACCCUCUUCUCUUUUAUUUGUCGAAACCUAGUUUUCUUCACGCCAGCCCCUGCUUCACCCCGAACCAGCCUCCAGUCACCGCGUCUAACCUCCUCCCUUCACCCACAACUGCUGGAGAGUUCUUUCCCCCUUGUCUGAACCCUAGCCUAUCUUCUUGUUCUCCUUUCAUCUUCUCGGAGCCAACCAACGUCCACCAUCAGCUUCAUCAUCGAGUCUCAUCAUCACCACUGAACCGCCAUUUCCUCUUCCCCUGACCACUGAUCCACCGCCAUCGCCACCGCAACCGCCGACCACCACCGUCGACUACCACUCACCCCUUCACACCAUUCCCUUUCUUCUUCCUCUUCUCUCACUUCUAUCUUCUCCUAACCCCCUGUCACCAUAACAGCCGCGACACCACUAUAACUGCCGGCGUCCCCUCAACCUUUACCACCCCUUCCACCCAAUCUCCAUAUACCACCAUCCCAUUGCUCUCUUUACCCUCCAUUGCCUUCUGGAAGCAAGAAUAGCACCACCAUCACUCUCGCAGCCACUUUUGUAUGGUGACAUAGUGAUGACUCCUUCCACUCCGCAUGAUCGUGAGCACCGAGGACGGUGCUACAUUUUAAGUGUGGGGAGGUUGUGCAUCUUCAGCAAGCGCAUUUUGGGUGACAAGCUUCAUUUUUUAACACUUUUAGUGUAGUUUCUUUUUAUGUUUUUUUUGGUACUUUGUAUAUAUUUUAUCCUUCUGAGAAACUUUUUACUCAGUUUAUUGCACUUUCUUAGUUUAUUACACUUUUAAAUUUUGCUUGUACAUAACUUAGUAUUAUAUAGUAGUUAUGCAUAUUUUGACAUUUUGCUUUUAAUAUUAGCUUUUACAUAUGCUUUUUGGUUUUUAGGCUUGAUUGUGAUUUUGGAUGAUGUGAUGAUUGCAUCUAAGUUUGAUUUCCUAUAUACUUGCUAUUUUGGUUUGAUUGAAAUUAGGAAUUAAACUUAGAAUUUUUUACCUUUUUCAUCCAAUCACAUCAUAUAUAUAUAUAGAAUAAAUGUUAGUCAAUUUAAUGAAAUUUCCAAGAAACCUACUUUUUAUAGGGUAUUGAAAUUCAAAUUGAAUUGAGUUGAAAUUUUUUUGAAACUUGCAUGAUUCAUACAUUGUGGAAUAUAGUUUUUGAGUUAAAGCACACAUAACUUGUGAGAUUUUGAGCCUUAUUGUGUGGUUGCAUUAUUCAACCACUCACUUUAUUCUUGUGUGUUGCUCUUCUUUAUGAUUGUAAUCUUUGGUUUGUUUAAUUCUAUAUAUCCAUUGUUUAAUGUAUAUUUAUGCAAGUAUGUGAUUGAGGCCAUUAUUCCUUUAUAACUCACUUAACCCAAAAAGCCUACCAUUUUAUUUACCUUUGCUUACCACUUUGAGCCUUUUAAUUCCCUUUUAUUCUUGAUUGAGCACACCACUAGCUAUAAGCGGAAAAAUAAUGAAUGUCCCUAUUUUGAAUCUUUGAAUAGCUUAAGUUAGUGAGAGUGUGUAGUGUUUAAGUGUGAAAAAAAUGUGGGAACUUGGGUUGAUGAAAAUGUGUUUUAUGCUUGUUGAGAAAUACUAGGAAAUUUUGGGGGGGCAUACUCAUGUAAUACUAUAGAAACUAUAUGCAUUGAUGUGUUGUUAUAUAUAUACUAUGUUUCAAAAAAAAGAGAAGAAAAAAAAA